rnacentral:rRNA from 1 species
GAUGAACGCUAGCUACAGGCUUAACACAUGCAAGUCGAGGGGAAACGAUGAGAGAGCUUGCUCUCUUAGGCGUCGACCGGCGCACGGGUGAGUAACGCGUAUCCAACCUACCCAUUACAGGGGGAUAACCUUGCGAAAGUAAGACUAAUACCCCAUGGCAUUUUAUGGUGGCAUCAUUAUAGGAUUAAAGAUUUAUUGGUAAUGGAUGGGGAUGCGUCUGAUUAGCUUGUUGGCGGGGUAACGGCCCACCAAGGCAACGAUCAGUAGGGGUUCUGAGAGGAAGGUCCCCCACAUUGGAACUGAGACACGGUCCAAACUCCUACGGGAGGCAGCAGUGAGGAAUAUUGGGCAAUGGGCGAGAGCUUGAACCAGCCAAGUAGCGUGCAGGAUGACGGCCCUAUGGGUUGUAAACUGCUUUUAUAGGGGAAUAAAGUGAGCUACGUGUAGUUUAUUGCAUGUACCCUAUGAAUAAGGACCGGCUAAUUCCGUG